UUCUGGCUCAGGAUGAACGCUGGCGGCGUGCUUAACACAUGCAAGUCGAACGGAGUUUUAACGGAAGUCUUCGGAUGGAAGUUUAAGAACUAGUGGCGGACGGGUGAGUAACGCGUGGGUAACCUGCCUCAUACAGGGGGAUAACAGUUAGAAAUGACUGCUAAGACCGCAUAAUAUAGCGAAACCGCAUGAUUUUGCUAUCAAAUAUUUAUAGGUAUGAGAUGGGCCCGCGUCUGAUUAGCUAGUUGGUGGGGUAAAAGCCUACCAAGGCGACGAUCAGUAGCCGGCCUGAGAGAGUGACCGGCCACAUUGGGACUGAGACACGGCCCAAACUCCUACGGGAGGCGGCAGUGGGGAAUAUUGGACAAUGGGGGAAACCCUGAUCCAGCGACCGCCGCGUGAGUGAAGAAGUAUUUCGGUAUGUAAAGCUCUAUCAGCAGGGAAGAUAAUGACAGUACCUGACUAAGAAGCCCCGGCUAACUACGUGCCAGCAGCCGC
rnacentral:rRNA from 1 species